rnacentral:rRNA from 1 species
AGAGUUUGAUCAUGGCUCAGAUUGAACGCUGGCGGAAUGCUUUACACAUGCAAGGUCGAACGGCAGCACGGGGCAACCUGGUGGCGAGUGGCGAACGGGUGAGUAAUACAUCGGAACGUGCCCAAUCGUGGGGGAUAACGUAGCGAAAGUUACGCUAAUACCGCAUACGAUCUACGGAUGAAAGCGGGGGGAUCGCAAGACCUCGCGCGAGUGGAGCGGCCGAUGUCAGAUUAGGUAGUUGGUGGGGUAAAGGCUCACCAAGCCAACGAUCUGUAGCUGGUCUGAGAGGACGACCAGCCACACUGGAACUGAGACACGGUCCAGACUCCUACGGGAGGCAGCAGUGGGGAAUUUUGGACAAUGGGCGCAAGCCUGAUCCAGCCAUUCCGCGUGCAGGAUGAAGGCCUUCGGGUUGUAAACUGCUUUUGUACGGAACGAAACGGCGAGCUCUAAUACAGUUUGCUAAUGACGGUACCGUAAGAAUAAGCACCGGCUAACUACGUG